UACGGAGGGUGCAAGCGUUAUCCGGAUUUACUGGGUUUAAAGGGUGUGUAGGCGGGCUUUUAAGUCAGUGGUGAAAUCUCCGGGCUCAACCUGGAAACUGCCAUUGAUACUAUUAGUCUUGAAUUUUGUUGAGGUAGGCGGAAUAAGUCAUGUAGCGGUGAAAUGCAUAGAUAUGACUUAGAACACCAAUUGCGAAGGCAGCUUGCUAAACAAAUAUUGACGCUGAGGCAUGAAAGCGUGGGGAUCAAACAGG
rnacentral:rRNA from 1 species